rnacentral:rRNA from 1 species
GACGAACGCUGGCGGCGUGCUUAACACAUGCAAGUCGAACGGAAAGGCCCUGCUUGCAGGGUACUCGAGUGGCGAACGGGUGAGUAACACGUGGGUGAUCUGCCCUGCACUUCGGGAUAAGCCUGGGAAACUGGGUCUAAUACCGGAUAGGAGCCAUCUUUAGUGUGAUGGUUGGAUAGUUUUUUCGGUGUAGGAUGAGCUCGCGGCCUAUCAGCUUGUUGGUGGGGUAAUGGCCUACCAAGGCGGCGACGGGUAGCCGGCCUGAGAGGGUGGACGGCCACAUUGGGACUGAGAUACGGCCCAGACUCCUACGGGAGGCAGCAGUGGGGAAUAUUGCACAAUGGGCGCAAGCCUGAUGCAGCGACGCCGCGUGGGGGAUGACGGCCUUCGGGUUGUAAACUCCUUUCGCUAGGGACGAAGCUUUUUGUGACGGUACCUAGAUAAGAAGCACCGGCUAACUACGUG